rnacentral:snRNA from 1 species
GGAUGUGAGGGCGAUCUGGCUGCGACAUCUGUCACCCCAUUGAUCGCCAGGGUUGAUUCGGCUGAUCUGGCUGGGCACGCGGGGGGCCCCUCCCCUUCCUCCCUCACCGCUCCAUGUGCGUCCCUCCCGAAGCUGCGCGCUCGGUCGAAGAGGACGACCUUCCCCGAUAGAGACGUACCGUUCAUCGGUCAAGGGUAUACGGUAGCUGCGCUCCCCUGCUAGAACCUCCAAACAAGCUCAAGGUCCAUUUGUAGGAGAACGUAGGGUAGUCAAGCUUCCAAGACUGCAGACACAUCCAAGUGAGGCACUGCACGGGGCAGUCUGCCAUUGUUU